GACGAACGCUGGCGGCGUGCUUAACACAUGCAAGUCGAGCGGAAAGGCCCUUCGGGGUACUCGAGCGGCGAACGGGUGAGUAACACGUGAGCAACCUGCCCUAGGCUUUGGGAUAACCCCGGGAAACCGGGGCUAAUACCGAAUAGGACCUGGCCUCGCAUGAGGCUGGGUGGAAAGUUUUUCGGCCUGGGAUGGGCUCGCGGCCUAUCAGCUUGUUGGUGGGGUGAUGGCCUACCAAGGCGACGACGGGUAGCCGGCCUGAGAGGGCGACCGGCCACACUGGGACUGAGACACGGCCCAGACUCCUACGGGAGGCAGCAGUGGGGAAUAUUGCACAAUGGGCGGAAGCCUGAUGCAGCGACGCCGCGUGAGGGAUGACGGCCUUCGGGUUGUAAACCGCUUUCAGCAGGGACGAAAUUGACGGUACCUGCAGAAGAAGCCCCGGCCAACUACGUGCCAGCCGCCGCCGUAAAAC
rnacentral:rRNA from 1 species